rnacentral:lncRNA from 1 species
GCUACGUCUUGUAAUGGUAUAGAAAACAGCACCUACAGUGAAAGUAUCAGGUAUAGGGUGGGUUAGUCCUAAGGUGUGGCCUUUGUCAUUUUAUAGAUAGUAGGCCUAAUUGUAGGAAAGUCAUAUAUGAUAUCGGCCCAGACAAUUAUUGGAGUGUUACAUUACAAUUUAACUGUUGACACGAUGCACUCAAUCAUUUCUGCACUAAUAACAAGAAGAAUAACGAUGUACAUUUUUUUAUUCUUUAUUUUACUUAGUUUUAUGUGCACUUCAACAAUAAUUAAAGCUAAACUUGUAAACAAACACAUUGCUCCUGUAACAACUACAGCUCAAUAUAAGAUAAAAACACUGCUUGUUUCACUCUAAAUUAAUUAUAAUCAAGUACUGUACAAUCAGAGAUGGUAUAACUACUAAUAAUCACGAAUCACCAUUUAUAAGGUGACCUAUUUCUACAAUUCUGCAUCAAUACUGAAUCUGGUCUCAGGGAAUUUUGUGUUAUUCUGUACUUAAAUCCGAGAUGCAGUUGGUAUGAUUACAUAAGACAGAUGGUUACUCACGGCAACAAUUAAAAGUAGGGUGGUUGGUCAGGCGUGUAAUGCGAAAGUCUAGCAACCCAAAAGUUGAAAGUUUGAAUCUCAUCAAGGACAACAUUAGCAUUUGAGCUAAUUAGCAACUUUCCAACUAUACCUACUACUUUUUAGCUACUUUGAAACUACUUAGCAUGUUAGCUAACACUAACCCCUAGCCUAGCUAACGUUAGCGAGCAAGCUAAUGUUAGCCACCUAGCAACCUACCUAGAAUUCAUAGCAUAUUCAUAGCAUAUUGUACAUUUUAGCAAAUUCAUUACAUAUUGCACGUUUUGCACAUUCGUAACAUAUAAUACGACUUGUAAUUCGUAACAAAUCAUAUACGAAAUGGGUAAUGGACAUCCACUAAUUAAUACAUUAAAAAAACAUUAUUUAACCUUUAUUUAUACCACGAUAUGUAACAUAACAUACUAUAUGGGGUGUUUCGGUUUGACAUACAGAAUAAUACAAAAUGCUCUUAGACAAGGUUGCAACACCACCUUUUGCUUUGGCACAUAUUUAACUAGGAAAAUCAGUUAAGUAAAGGUUAAGAACAAAUUCUUAUUUACAGUGAAUGCCUACCGGGGAACAGUGGGUUAACUGCCUUGACCAGGGGCAGAACAACAGAUUUUGACAUUGUCAGCUCGGGGAUUCGAUCCAGCAACCUUUCGGUUACUGGCCCCAUGCAACCACUAGGGUACCUGCUUCCCCAGUAGGCUUAAAUGUUUUGUGCUCAUUGCAGCAGCAGAGGGCACUCUCUAUUGGUCUGUCCCGUUCCAGUGGAAAACAGAGUUAAAUGAAAACAAGUUUGGAACUUCAGGACUUUUCCCGUGGGGUCAUCUUAAAGGAGAACAGAGAGGGGUUUGAUAUUCUGGACAUAAAAACAGACCUUUCAAAGAACAAGAUACAUUAGAAAUUCCCUUCGUUUUGUAUCUUUUUAUAUAAAACACACAACAUAAAUCCUAUCAGCUGUUUCAGGUUAAAAUCACAUGAGAAAAAUUGUGUAGAUCUGUUUUUGUCCACCUUGGAGUGGUUUGUGUUCUCAGACUGAGUCAGACAGAACAACAGCGCAGAAACAAGGCUCACAGUGCUCUGUUCCUAGUGCAUCAUUGUCCUGUUUACAACUACUGCUGAGUAGUCUUAAUGACUUCUGCCAUUGCUCAUCAGCCUUUAUACACACAUGGAUUCUUCAGGAUGGUUGCAUAGCAGUCUGUCUGUCCCCUCCAAACUACAUUGUUCAGGCAAUACCAAUACUUUAGAGAGCAUCCCUCCUUCCUUGGUUCCUCCCUUGAAUCGCUCUUUCCUCCCUUCCUUGAAGGGAGGGAAGGGUGCAUUUUAUAAGUAUUGCAACUGGGCCACUGUCCCCUCCUCCUCAGACAGCCUGUAAGGGCUGGACCCGGGAACCCUGGUAUUUAGGCUUUCCACAGCAACAGCAGUGAACGCAGGAUAGCACAAUCAUAAACAGGAAAGUGGC